rnacentral:tRNA from 1 species
GUUAGGGUGGCAGAGCCCGGUAAUUGCAUAAAACUUAAACCUUUACCUUCAGAGGUUCAAUUCCUCUCCCUAACA